GCUACGAAGUGAAUUUUAGUACGCGGCUCCAUUUGUAUCAUGUAGCAAUGGAAAGGAGUUGCAGGAGUAGGCUCCGAGGUGAGAGUAGCAGCAAAGGCGUUGGAUGCCCGAAGAAAGCAGAAAUGACCGGACCAGAGGAAACCGCGUCGGUCCACAAGAAGCUCCACGCCGGCGCACCUCUUGUCGGCUCCUGCCACGUGAGCCUCAUUCUCUUCUCGCUCCUCCCUGUGCUGUGCUGUGCUUUACUCUCUCUCUCUUGAGAUCGUCCGUUUCGUAUAAAACCGAGUUCCUGCGUUCACUCUGCUAGACAUCUUUUCAGGGAAAGGCAGAAGCAGGAUUCUCAUCUCCAGCUUAGUUUCACACUGCAUCCUUUAUUGGGGUACAAGUAGAAGUUGAAGGCACCCAUCCUUUCGUCUUCGAAUCAUUUUUGUUCUUCUUUCUUUGAGAUCCGAGGCUGAGAAGAUUGAAACAGAUUCUCAACCUAAGAUGGGUGUUGUGCGCUUCUUCCAUUUCAUAUUCUUCUUUGCCCUCCUCUUGCUGCCUUCAGAGUCCAGUGCUCAGACCAUACGUGGUAGCACAAAUGGGGUUGUUGUGAUGGGCGGUCGUCGGAUCUUGGGCUUCGAAGAAGUUCCUGAUUCGGAGGGUAAGCAGGACGAAGCCGAAGCGUCAGAUUCGAUCUCUCUUCCAGUGAAGAAGAAGAAGCAGGACAAAGAGGUGUCUGAUUCUAGCUCUGUGUUGGAGAAGAAGAAGAAGAAGGAGAAAGAAGCACCUGAUUCUAGCUUCCUUUUGGAGAAGAAGGCGCCCAAAGAGGCCCUUGGUUCUGGCUCUGUUUUAAAGAAGAAGACCAAGGAGGCGCUUGAUUCUGACUCUGUUUCGGAGAAGAAGGUGAAGCUAGAGCAGCCCAUCAUCAAACAAGUGGUGAAAGUGAAGAAACCCACAAAUGGUUCCACUACCACAUCAGCUGCAGCAACGCUCCUGAAGAAGAAGACUCCUUUGAACCACACGAAUGCUCAGUCGAAACCGGUGCCUCCUACCGGCCUGAAACCCAUCAAGAAGCAAGCAGAUCUACUGAAAACAGUGGAGUCCAAGAACAAGACGAAAGUAGAAAAGAAAACUCUCGGCGCUGCAUCUGACGCCGGCGACUUCCAAAUAAUAAAGAAGAAGCCUGACGCCUCCAUCUCCACCUCAACUUCCUCUGCAACUCCCACCAAGAAAAAAGCCCCAGCCACACCGGAGAAGAAGAAGGACCCAAAGGAGAAAGAGACGCAGAUUAAGCUGAAGAAGACGAAGGAAGUGUAUAGCGAUGACGAGGACGAUCUGAUACAGGAUUUCCGGGGCCUCCCCUACAAAUUGCAGGAGACUUUCAUCCCGGACCUCGAGAGGAUCUCCACGACCUCCAAGGCCUAUCUAAACAGAGCCAACCGUGAAAUGGUGGAGGGGUUUAAGCCGCUGGUAGGCCACAGAUACGCUCCAGUCGUCGCCACCGUGACUUCCUAUAUCUUCCUCCUCCUCCCACUCCUUCUGGUGUCGCUUCUCUUCCACCAGAUCCGCGAGUACCUCUCCCUUCAGAGGCUGCUCUUCUUCAUUCAUGGCUACCUCGGCGCCUACUUCACCGUCCUCACCCUGACCUUCGCCUUCACUAGAGUUGAACCGCUUCGCUUCUUCUACCAAUAUUCGAUGACGAGCUACAUAAACAUGCAGGUGAUGCAGACUCUGUUCUAUGUGAUGUAUCUGCUGAUGCUGGUACUGUACAUGGUGGUUCAGUUCUCCACUGCCACAGGGCUGUGGGUUCGGGUCUCGGCGCUGGUGCAGACGAUGGUAGGGGCGGUGGUCGGUCUCCAUUACUACUCGGCCGUCUUCCACAACGCCCUCGCUCACAAGCCACCCAGGGCGAGCUGGAGGAGCCACGCCGUCUACGCCUUCUGCUUCCUUAUGCUCAGUCUUCUGGCGAAGCGGGUGAUUGACAGGAGCAAGAAGGCAUACCACCAUGAAUCAGGAGAAGGGGACAAGCAAAAUUGAUGCCCCUGGCUACCUGCAGCAGCAGCACCACCACCGCCAUCUACUCUGUUUUUUUUGCCUUAAUUGAUUUUUAUUUAUUUUUCUCUGCAACCAUGGCUAUAGAGAUCGAUGGUUGAUUGAAGCUGAAAAGAGGUGCAGAUUUAUAAAGAACAGAAGAGAGAGAAUGGUUAUCAGGGAAAGCUAUUUAAUGUACUUUGCAAGGAAAGUUGGUGAGAAAGAAAAAAAUGAAGAAGAAAACCAAUGUUUGUUGCUCUGUUA